AGCAGUAGCCGCGGGAAUACGAAGGGGGCUAGCGUUGUUCGGAAUUACUGGGCGUAAAGCGCACGUAGGCGGAUAUUUAAGUCAGGGGUGAAAUCCCAGAGCUCAACUCUGGAACUGCCUUUGAUACUGGGUAUCUUGAGUAUGGAAGAGGUGAGUGGAAUUCCGAGUGUAGAGGUGAAAUUCGUAGAUAUUCGGAGGAACACCAGUGGCGAAGGCGGCUCACUGGUCCAUUACUGACGCUGAGGAGCGAAAGCGUGGGGAGCAAACAGGAUUAGAUACCCCCGUAGUCCCUGUCUCUUAUAC
rnacentral:rRNA from 1 species